rnacentral:rRNA from 1 species
UACGAAGGGGGCUAGCGUUGUUCGGAAUUACUGGGCGUAAAGCGCACGUAGGCGGAUCGAUCAGUCAGGGGUGAAAUCCCAGAGCUCAACUCUGGAACUGCCUUUGAUACUGUCGGUCUAGAGUAUGGAAGAGGUGAGUGGAAUUCCGAGUGUAGAGGUGAAAUUCGUAGAUAUUCGGAGGAACACCAGUGGCGAAGGCGGCUCACUGGUCCAUUACUGACGCUGAGGUG